UUUUUUUCUUCUUCUUCUUUUUU
rnacentral:sRNA from 1 species